CUGCAAGCAAAGUGGAGGCUGAGGACUGGAAGCAAAAGAUGGUUGCAAAACUGAAUUCAUUCUUCUUUGGGUCCACUGAGCCAAGUGGUUUGUACUUAUAUUUAGAUUAUGGAAAGAACAGUGAACAACAAAUGUUUUCUUUCUGGUAAUGUCAUGUUAUGGUAUUCUUAGGAAAGUAUUUUAGGCUACCUUGUUAAAUUGUGUACAAUGGAGAUGAAGCAAGAUGAGACUAUGCAAGUGUGGAAAAAGCUAAGGCGCUAUUCUGUGCCUGCAGCUGGUCACCUUGGAUUGCUUUUAUUAUGCUUCUGUGGACAACAAAGCAUGGCUACACUAGAGCAAGCAUGUACCUUGCAGGUGUUGUCUGAGGCUUGCCUGGCUUGUAGCAGCAAUUAACCAUAUAGGGCUGACAUGAGCCACUUCUCUGAGGAUAUUUUGCAUGCAUAUACAUGGAUACAGGAAACAUUAGACAGGGAGAGAUACUACUGCGAAGUGCAGACAAACUAGAGUGCCAGAGGGCCAAGCAAAUGAGGUCUUGCACCCUGACCCCAGUGUCCCCAUUACUGCUGUGCUUUACACUGGAGCUUGUAUCUGGAUCAGCAUGUGUGUACCGAGCCAUCGGAGUGAGGUCCUUCUCUUGGCUUGUUACGUUACAUUUCUUUUUCUGAGUUUCAAGGGACUGUGACUUAAACGGUACUGACAGUACACAAUAUUACCCAUUUACUCUGUAGAUUAUACUCCACUGGAGAAUUGAUGUCAGCUAAUCUGCCACUUCAAUAUUUUCAGAGACCUGCAAACUGUGUAUACCAUAGUAGGACAGGAGAGUAUCAGAUGUAGGCUUCUGUAACUUCAUUUCCCCUAAAUUCUAGGUAGGUAUGCUCAGAUCUCCAACCUUUCUUGCUUGCUUUGUCCUCUGAGUAGCUUUUUUUUCUGUGCAGAAAUCUUGUCUGCCAUACCAAAGUUUGACUGAUCUUUGGGUGAGGAGAAGAGGGUUGGGAGCAGAUGGCUGUCAACACAAUGACGAAAUUCUGUAAUACUGCUCAGAUGCAAACUGUGAGGCUCCAUAUUUAAAACACAUUCAAGCAAAUAGAACUGCUUAUAUCUCUCAUGCAGUGCAACUUUUGCUGUGGAUUAUUCUCAAUACAAUUCGUACAUUUCUGUGAUAAAUUUUCUUUUACUGCUAAAAGCUGAAUUCUAACUACUAACCAAUUAGUAUUCAGCAAUGGGUAAAACACUCUGAACCAUGCUAUGAUUUUGUCAGUGAGAAUCGUUAAAUGCUCUUCAAUGAAACCGCACUGAUUUGCGUUAAUUGGUGGCCUGUCUUUUCACAACGGUAUCACGCUGUGACAAAUGUGCCUUGCAAAGACAAGGUAAUGCAGCUAAACGUGCAGUGACUGCUGCUCUUGUGGUGUUGGCUGGGCUCAGGAGGUGGCCACUGACUCCAGGAGUGCUUAAUGUGUGGCCGUGGAGAGUUAAGAGCACAACUAAAAGCAUUUACAUGAAGUAAGAGCUAAAGAAGUAGUAGGUACAGCGCAACCUGAGUUCUGUAUUGUUUAAAAGUUGGUAGUUGGGUCUGAGUACUUUAGAAAGGCUUUUUUAAUAAAGCUUAUGUAGAUGUGAAAAGCAUGAUGUAAGUAUGCAAAAUUAAUAGAAUACCUCUCAAAGUUUUAUUAAUUUUAAUUAAAAAUGUGAGCGUGCAACAGAUCAAUGGUCUUUUUAGCCUCACAGUGGGCAGUUUCUUGCCAAAGGUAGCACGACAUGUCCUUGGUGGUCCUAGGGGCAAAGUAGCACUGUGGAGAACUGUAUCUUGAAGCCAGCUAUUGGGGCUGUGUUAUUGGUAUUCUCCCCAAAACUAUGUUGAACGUGGUUAUCUCCAAGCGGUCACCACUGGCUGAUCAUGCAUGCAUAAAGCUAACAAGGGAAAACUAAUUCUAAGUACUUCUAAAUUUGCAUUUAAUUCCACUCUUCUAUUCUGUUUUAUGCUUAACAGAAAAGCUGCUGCAUCUAAGUGGGUAUCUUUGAAUAACUCUGUUUAACGUGACACCUGGUAAGCAUCCACUGGUCAGGAGCUUUGCAUUUAUACUGUGAGCAAAUGGAGUGGUUAACUUCACUUGUUCACCUUGGAUUGCAUGCUGGCACCUUGAGUAGACUAUCUCACUUAUCAAAUUUCCAAAACCUCAUGCCUGGGAAAACCUCUUAUGACUUCAGGAGUCCAGGUGCUGCAGAGCUUAUUAGAUAGUAACAGCUUUUGCGGAUGCAAGUGCCUGUUGAAUGUUGCUUUCAUUUGGAAUUGCAGCCUGAGGGAAACAAACAGCCUAGAAGUGGGUAAUGGAAACAGGCUACAAGGGCUACUUGUUAAAUUACUGGAUUAUUUUAUUUGGUAGAGAGCAAGAAGGCCAUGUCCAGUACAGAAAAACAAACCAAGCCUCCAGCUUUUACUGAGUUUCCACUGUGUUUCUGAGCUGAAAAAUUUGCUUUCAUUAUAAGCAGCAGCGUGUGGCAUUAUGUGGGUAUUGUCUUGUGUAGGCCACGGGGAAAUCAAGCAUCCUUCUUUUCUUCAUGAUAUUGCAGGGCUCCUUAAAGAAGUUGUUGUUGGUAAUGAAUGUAUUAGUGAAGAACUCAACUAUGAGCUAUAUCUAAUUUUUUUAUAGAAAUGAACAGUAGUGCCCUCUGGGACUUCAGGUACAUAUAGAUGUAUUUAAUAUUCAACUAUCUCAUUGUAGACUUAAAGAAUUACUUUUUGUGACUGAUAACUAAUGUUUAAAACAGCUCAUCUCAAUAGAAAAAGCUGCCAUUGCUAGGCACAAAUGUCAGCAGCAUUGCAGUGAUGUUUUAAUAACAUGAAGUAAUCUGCCCAUACUUCAGUAAUAAAGUUACACAGGCUCUAGUUUGCUUUCUUGUCAGCAUCCUUCUAUUGACACCUUUCUGUCAAGAAGAUGAAGUGAAGAGUGAAAUCUAGCUUUUUUUUUCUCAUGUUAAAUGUAUUCUGCAAAGCUUUUGUGAAAUACAAAGACUGUGGACUUUGUAGAUAGUGUUUGCAUUUGGGACUUGCAGGGAGAUUUACGUGAACUUUGUGCUGUGGAAGUGGUUGCCCUUUAAAGCAACCAGAAUUAUAUGAAAUAAGCACAUUUCUAAAACUGUAUUUUGUAGAUUAGUUUAGUCUUUAGGCUUUUUUUAUAGGGCAGCAGAAUACAAUUCUCAGUAUAAACUGAGAUUUCAAAAUGGGUGAGUUUGACUGCAUGGGUAGACUAUAUUUUUAUUUCUGGGAAACCUGCUAGUGUUUAAAACAGAAUAAAAAGAUACUCUAGGAAACUGUCAGGGAAUUUUCCAGCUGUAGGUUGAAACUGUCCAACACUGUAGUUCAAAAACUCAAUGUUAAUUAAUAAUCAUCUUAAUCCUCAUGAUGGCACAAACGUUGGAUCCAGUGAUAAAAAGAAAACGAAUAUCUUCAGAGAUGUCAGUCUGCUGAGCCACCAAACAUCCAGGAGGAUAUCCUUCAAAAGCAGUAAGUGGGAGGUAUGCAUAUGAAUUUCAUUAGCUAGUAAUAAUAUGCGUCCCCAUACUUGCGGAGGAACACCACUUAAAGCCUGUGCUUUCUGCUGGCCUGGUGGGGCUCGUAUAACUCAGAGUUGCACCUUUUCUCUCAUCUUCACAGGUUUUUGUGCAGAAGUGGCUGCGGUAAGGUGUUGCAGAAACUCCCAACAUCUCUUAAAUGAAAUACAUUUUUUUCUUUAGAAGCAAAAUAUCUGAAGAGCUGGAACGAGGUAGAGUGCUGCAAUAGAGGUUUGAAUUUGGAUUUUGCUGCGUGCUGAUGGCAGAUGUGGAGCGGGCUGGCUGUGGAAAGGCUGCUUUUGUAUGUAACUCGUCAUGGGGGAAAAUUCUAUUUUUUCAAGGCAGUGAUGCCAGAAUAAAGGUUAGAAUGGGAGAAGAACCUUUUGUUUUCCUUCCUGUUUUUUGCCCUUAGUGACCCUUUGCUUGCCAGAUAAAGGAAGAACAAGAAUGCCUUCUGUGCUGGAGGUAGCAGCUCACCAUGCUUUGUUUAAACAAAAUAAUGAGGAAAGACUUAAGCAGAUCUUGGCUGUGGCAAUAUAGCCUUAGGGGUUGAAGUUACACCUGUUGAGUGAUGCUAAUGUUUGAGCUCACCCAGUAGCAGAGAUUUGGAGAGGAGAAUUUGUAUCCCAGAAAGGAUUGAAUAUUGCUGAAGAGGAAAAAACUGAGGGGUUUCUUUCUCUAAGUGCUUGCAGAUGGACCCUACCCUGUACAGAGCAACAAAAGGAAAGGCUUCCUUAAUCUUGCCUUUAUUAAAUAUGUUCUGCUAAAAUGUGUUCAUCACGCUGUUUAAAAGAACAAGGUUAGAAAUCUACUGACAAUAAAUGAAGAUUUAUUAUAUUUGGUGGUGUUGUAUACCUAAUAUGGGAUUCAGUACAAACUGAAGUUUGUGAAAGCAGAAAAAAAAUGUCCUGGUGCCAUUUAAUUAACUGUCUGGCCAAUAUUUCUCCCUUUUUUUAUUGAAAAAUCUGUACGUUGCAACUGGCUUCAAGUAUGCUCUUGGACAGCUCUGCUAACAGCCAGAGAAUAAAUACAGUAAAAUACAGACAGCCUUGCACAGCUCCACACUCCAAAUGAACUCAUACCUUGAGCUGCAAAAGCAUAUUUUUUGCUUCAAAACAGAAUACGAUCAUUGCAUCUUUAAUGAAAAUAAUUUAUUAGAAAAGAAUUAACAUUUUUUCAUUAGCAUAGAUGGAAUAUCUCUUAAAGUGUGUUGUGUGGGACAAUAAAGAGCAGUGCAAACAGGAGCUUUCAUCUAAACUUAUGAUCCACUUGUUUUUGAAAUUGAGUUUUUCCUUUAACCAUUUGCAUGUUUUGAGGAAAGCCUUAAUAAAUUACUUUUCUUUAGAUUAUGGGAAGUAAUUUGAGUAUUAUUAGCUCAUUUUGCAUAUUAAAAUAAAGUGUCUCCUGCUAAUUUGAUUUCCAGUUCAAGUUCUGCAGUUUAAGUCUCCCUCAUGGGAUUUAACUAGUUACCUUACUACAGGAUUAAGAUGUGCUGGAGGACAGAUGUAAAUAAUCCAUCAUAUGCAGCUGAUACUGCAUAGAUAUUUUUAUAAUAUCUUCCUCUGUUGUUGCUGUGACACUGCAAGUUUUGAUAAAAAAUACAGGAGCUGGAGAACUCAAUUGCUACAGGAGCUACUAGGGUAAAGGAAAUUCUGGAUUUGUCACUUAGCUUGAAGUGUUGGUGUCCAGUGGGUAGCUUUAUGGUUUUUUUAACCUGAAAAAGCUAUAAUAUAUAUGGCCCAGCUCUUCUUAGAGACCUAGGAAGGUCUAGCAGACAUCUCUGGUGUGCUAGUGACCUGCCAAGUGAUCAUGUUUUGGGGAGAUGGAGGCCAAGGGAGAGUUUAAGACAACUGAAAGAGAUGAGUCUGAAGUACUAAAUUGCCUCCAUAACUGCUCUUGCUGUUCCUGCAGUCCUGCUGGUCCAGAUUCCAGUGGUAGCUCUUGAGUUGAAAGGUUAAUGACUCAUUUUCUGAGCAGUGCAGUUUUCUUUCAUUUUUCAUUUACAAUUAUCUCCACUGCUUUAAAAACUGAAAGGCACUUCCAAAAAGCGUUGUACUCAGGCGUUAUUGCUGUCAAUUAAAGUUAUUAAAUCAUACAUCUUCACAAAUGAAAUCCAAAUACACCAUUAAUAUGUUUCCGUUGCUCUAUUGCCACUCCAUUAUGGAAGUGACAAGUGAGGUAUUGAAGCAGCUCUGGAAGUUGGUGGCUAUCUCUGCCUAAUGAUGAAGAUAUGCAUUUGGAUAACAUCUUUUUUGGGAAUACCCACUUUUUUUUUUUGUUUUAUUGAAAGCAAGAGCCUUAAGAAUGGAAAAAUUUGAGAGGAGGGCAUCUACAACCUAUGACUGUGGGUUGUUAGCUGCUGGGGCAGAGCUUGGUGUUAAAAUGGAAGAGCAAAUGUGUUGGUCAUGCUUGGCAUAUAGGGUCAGUAAAAGAAGAAAGAGGCACCUUCAGAGCCCCUGACAGAGAGAGAAGGAUGUCACAAAGAAGCACGGCUUCUCUUAGCGGGUUCAUCCAAAUGGAUCAAGAGGAAGAUGCCUUUGACACUUCUGUACCAGGAGGAUGCAGAAGCUCCUUGGAUGAGAGCUAUGAAAGAGGUUAUUUUGGGAGCAGUAUGGAUUUGCAAGAGAACUGGUCGCUGCCACCAGGAGUGUCACCCUGCCUGCAUGGAAACUGCGUUCAUUUCAGUUCCUUACAAGGCCAGAACAAGAAUUUAAAAAUAAAUAUAUGUAAUAAAAAAAAUGAGCAAACUCGACCAAUUUUCAAGGUAGGGUGGUGAUUAGGAGCUGUGCCACUUGGUCAGGCAGAGCCGACCUGCUCUGGUGAGCCCACAGCUCCCUGGGAGCUCUCAUCUUUUCCUUUUCUGAGUCUUUAAAUAGUGACAGAAUGUUGUGCUCCCUGGUGCCGCUGAGCUGCCCUACCUCCUGGUAUCCUAAUGUUUGUGACCGGGCUGAAAACAGUUCUUCCCCAUGGUCUCUUAAUUUCUGGUCUGUGGGCUGCAGGCAAGUGGCUGGGGCUCUACAGCAAGCUCGUUGUGCCUGUAUUAUAUUACUUCCUCUUCUUAGCUAGGCAAAGUAGAUUAAGAAUUAUUUCUUCUUUGUCUUGUGCUGUAGGCUACGAAUAAAAGCUAUCGAAGACAAAUCUGCUAUUACAGGGAUUGUCUAUGGAAAAAACGGGUUGAGUGACAAGGUCUGCGAUCACUGAGGGUGCAGAAACUAAUGCACGCGUUAAACUGAUCUGCACGAGUGAUUCCCGAAGUCAUUAUGCAGUGCAUAAUCUUCUAAGUGAGGGGUUAUAUAACGAAUGCUUUCUAGGAAUUGUACAUUUUUCUCCUACGUUGCCUUUGCAAAUUUUUUAACCACCUCUUCCAAAGUGGAUCAAUUUUGUCCCAUAUAAACGUUGAGACUUCUUUUGUAUGUUGAGCCAGGGGUGUAGGAACAGGGGUGUAAUUAGGAAUAGAAACAGCAGAUAAAUUGGGGUUUGUCCUCAGACAAAAGGAAUUGUUGUGCUUCUAAUACCACCUCUUAUUUUAAAUGGGCAAAGCAUUAAGGAGGAGGACAGGGGUGAACUGAUGACAAAGCAGUUGGAGUAGAUGCUUAAGGAGAGUUAAACCUUUUGUUAUGAGAUGGAAGAGAAGAAUAUGGGCACUUAGGAAGUGCUUAGUGGGCAAUAGGAGUCCUUAAGUUGAAGCAAAAAGAGGAUCGCAGUGAGGUGGUUCUGUGGAAGAAAAGAAUGAAUGGAAAGCGGGAGUUGUCCUUAAUGUCACUGGAGCGUUUUCUUUCUUUCCUUGUUCUACAUAAGCAGACUCUCUGGAUCUGCGAAGCUCUCACAUUUACCUUUCAGUAACUGUUCCUACAGUGUCAAUUUUUUCUUUUACUGAACUGCCUUUAAAAAAAAAAAAAAAAAAAAAGCUCUAAGCUAAAGUUCAGCAAACCUUCUCCUCCAGUAAAGACUGUUCAGUAAAAUCGCAACCGUGUAUUUCUAGGUCCUGAGCCAUCUAUCUGACUUUUACAUAGAUGCAGGGUGAGACCUGCUUGAAAGAAUGGAAGGACAUCCAGUGGACGUGAUCUAGCUGGUGUUUUUCCUUUGCAUCUUUUAUUUGCCCCAUCUUCCCCAAUACUUUCAGAACGUACACUUUUUGAUGAAGCACAAGUGUUUCAGCGAUGCUCAGUGCAUCUCUAGUGCAUGAGCCUUCUCUUUGUAUCGCGUUCUUGCCAUGCCUAUUUUAAAGAGAACCUUUAUAAAGCUGGUUUCUAAUGCCACACCAGUAACUUCAUUAUUUGAAAGCCCGUGCAAAAACCCACGUUAAUGUACUCAGUCUGCCAUGGGUGAGUGCUUAUGCACUUGUUUUAGCCCAGGGCUCUCUUUUCAGUUCCCUAGUUAGCCAGUUUCUUCUCAUUAUUGUCUUAAAGAUCCCACUACCUUUGUUUUUAAUAUAUUCCACUUGUUGCAAGGAAGUCCCAUAUUAAUGGAAAUGGACGCACAACUCUUGCAAACCCUCAAGACUUGAAACUGAGUGUGGCUGUAGAAGAGUAUAUGGAAGCAAUUUCUCCUUCUAGAAAUCUAAUAAUUGUGUUCAAAUCUCUUCAGUGGUGUAGUGAUACCCUAUAAAUGCCUUCCCACUGUGGUGACUUCUAGUUCGGUUUCAAAAACUUGGCUUAUUUUAAAUGUCACUAUUAAUAGCUUUCUGUGGACAAAAUAAAAGAUAACUCUGUUGGAUAUCCCAGUUAAGCAGGGUACCAUGUUUACAUUGGGUUUCUGCCCAGCAGCUGCUUAUGCUGAAGUGCUACGAAGAAUCCAUGAAUUAAUCACUGUGUAACCAUGGGGACAAGUUGCGUUGAUAUUCACCCCAAGUGAGUGUAGUCACCAUAAUGUGGUCUGUAGAUACAAGUGACAUCAUUCUUCUGCAGUUCGGUGUGAUUGUGGGUAAUAAGAUCCCAGUUUCUUGACUGCUUUGGGGAUGUGCAAAUGCUGCUGUUGCUGCCUUACUUUGGAAGAGGUAAAGAAAAUUUGAAAGUGCUAUUUAGUCCAUUACAGCUCCUAAAGGUGUGUCUGAAAUGCAAAAUUAGCUUCCAUGUGUGUACAUGCGAAAUGGCAGUACUGUGCUUCAAGGUACAAAUUAUAUGGUGACACGUGCACAUUUUCUGAGUAAAAGGUGCAGGUAAAAAAAAAAUGAUGGGUCAGCAUUAGAAUAAAAUCAUGUAAUUGGAUUUUUUGUAUUUAUCUUUAUCUUGUGAGAUAAUUGCCUCAUUAUAGGCUGUAGAUUCUGAUUUUUAUUAUAUCAGUGUUUAUCAGAACUACAUGUAGUUUCCCAGAAAGCUGUAACCAGUCAUAAAAGCCCUUUGGAUGCUCAGAAAUAGCUAUUAAGAAAGGAAUAGUUGAAAUACAGAAGUGUAUGGGAUAUUGGGAGAAACAGCCAUUUCAGGAGGGGCAAGGACCAUUUUGUGGUUAGGUUAAGUUAAUAACACAACUUCAGUUAACUUGGUCCUACGCUUAGAGCUCAUAAAGACACCCAUGGGAAUGUAUGAAUUAGUUUCUCUUAAUUGCAUUAUUUAAUUUAAAUGUUUAAAUUGCCUUUCUGAUUUUAAUGCAGCUAUUAUUUAUUUAUUUAUUUAUUUAUUUUUAAGGAAACACUUUCUAUUUGGGAUUUGCAUGUGUGUGCUUGCUGCUUUGGUUCUCCUCCAAAGAUCUUUUCUUUUUCCUCAGAAAAGAUAGUGAGAAUUAACGUGUUGGCAGAAUCCAGCCAUGACUUCAGAGAGAGUUGUGAAUAAUGAAUGCAGGGUCUUUCUCUUGCUUGCAGUGGCAGUAAAACAUUGGCGAGCAUUAUAUUAAAAACACUGCAUGCGUACCUACGCCCCUAAAAAGAACACCUGAAGUGCACAGAUCUCCAACCCUGAUCAGCCAAUGUAUUUUGAGAGUGGACAGAUGGGACUUGACUUGAUGCAGAGUUUUGCAUUGCCUCAAACAGCUCUAUGUGCGUGCUGCUGGAUCAGGGCUUCAGUGCUCCUGGGGAAGAAACUAAGUUGGCUCUCAAACAGAGAUAGCUAAAAGAUAAAUACCUAAGGAGGGAGAGGAAACCUGCUUUUUUCCUUACUCUCUCAGCAUGAGGUCGUGUAAUUCCCGAUGCCCCUUUGGUCUGGAAGACAAAUCUAUUGGAUGUGGCUAAUAGCCGCUUUAACGGGAUUCUGGCAGGAACAGACAGGAGUUUGGUUUGCUCAGCCUAAGGGAACCCUCUUGAAGCAUCCUCUUCUAGAGUCAAUGGGAGCUUUGUCAUUGACUUAAAGAUUAAGGGGUUCAGUAAGGUGAAUUGACUUAAAUCGAAGUGAUUUAGCUGUGAUUUAAACCAACAAGCAGAAAACUUUGAUUUAAAUAAUUGAUUUCAAUCUUAUUGUGAAAUUUAUAGUUUUAGCUGUUUUCAAAGAGGCCAAUUCCUUGACUGGGGAUUCAGUUCAAAUGUAGUGAUUUGGGACCAAAUAGCAAUGUAGCCAAUGUAUUUUAUGAUAAGUAGUGAAACGUUGCUCUCUCUCCAGUUCUGUGUCUUUUCCUGACCAGGUCCUUAUUCAAGUUCUUGCAAAUUUAGGUGAUGUUUUAAGUCCUAUGAUUUACUUAAAUGUUGACUAAUUGCUAAGCCACAUUAGUUCUUAUAUGCCUUUGUAAAACUAGACAUGAUUCAAUUCUGAUUCUGUGUACUGUUUACUCGCCAUUUGGAUUUGAUUUCUGUGGACACUAGAGGGAGCACAUAUUGCUUUAAGAAGGGACAAUUUUUUUGUCCUGUCAAAGUAUGAUAUAAUCUGGCAACAGUAUACAACAAUAUCCAGGAGUAUGUAUGAUAUGAAGUCACGUUUGUGUCUCUCAGGUAAUUCAUCAAGGGGGAAAGCAUGCAAAAGAUGAAGGUCACUUUAUAGGAAAUCUAUUCUAGAUAGUGAUAAUUCUAUAGAUUACUACCACUAUUAGUGGGAUUUCUUCCCCCAUCUCCCUCUGUUUAACUGAAGUUGAUGUUUAACUGAGUUCCAAUUAUUUCAUUAAUACUAUAUACAUGUUAGGGAAUAUUUAUUGGUUAAAGUAUUUCUAUCUCUUAUGAUUUUAUUGACUUGUGUUAAAAUGCAUUGAUUUUUGGCUGAAGUACUUGUUUCAGGGUAGAUGCAAUUGUUCUUGUAGGAGUGCUUUGCAGUCAGAGUUCUUAUUUUUUCAACGGAUACAUUUCCAUUAAAAAACAAAUUGAACAUUUGAAAAGAUUAAAUGGAUGUUAGUCAAGCAUCCUGUUCUCAAACAUGCCAUUCUUUCUUCUAAUGUGUGAAACAUGACACCUGAAAGCAUUCUUUCUAAUCUUACUCCAUUAAUGUAUAUAACAGCACAUCAGCUUAAUGUAUAUAAUAGCACAUCAGUUGUCAUGUGUUUGCUUUAUUAAAAUGUUUGAGUUGGUGAUUCCUGACUGUCUUAACUCAGGGAUAAUGAGGUUGAUUGAGUAAUACCUAUUUAAUUUCUCUUACCUGUGCAAUGUAAUUGGAGUGAGAUGUGAAUGGAUCAUGUUUAACCUCCCAGCAAACAAGAGCCCUCAAGCUUCUGGUCUGAAGCAGUGCUAUCAGCAUCAUCAGUGAUAGCAGGUAAUCACUUGCACCUAUUGAUCUGACAUGGAAUUCCAUCACUUCUGCCAGGUGUAAUGUAACCCCUUCAAAGCCGUCGGUGGCUGAAGUUGCUGUAUUCAAUUCUGUACCUCCUUGUUCUGCAUUUAAAUUAUUUUUCAUGUCUCUCAUGACAUAGAAUAAGGAGCAGCAUUCUUUGUCAUUAGCACACAGUGAAUUUGAUAGCCAGUACUGGAAACCAAUACCCCUUGCAUAAGAGAGGCUUUCACCUUUAAAUCAGAAUCAAGACCAAAUACACGUACUGAUGUCUAUACAGCUUUUUUUCCAACAAGUUAGUCUUCAUGUGCAAUUAUAUCCAGUUUUUUUUACUGUGGUCCUCAGCGAAUAUGUGAUAACAAUGCACAUAUAUAUAUUCAGAAGGAUAUUUCCCCUUUCGUGUUGAAAUCUAUGGAACAGGCUGUGACAGAAAAUCUGCAGUUACUUUCUGUACUGCUAACCCCCCCCAGUUUUCCACCAGCCUUCUCCCAUCAGGAAGAGCUGCUCUUGCCCCCUUCUCCAUGACUAUUCUGUAGUUCAGUUUUCUGACAGGUUUAUGUCAGAGACGACAGAUCUGUGGGAAUUAUAGAUGUGAUUAUUCUGGCUGAGCUGAGUGCCCCAUGUCAGCAGAUGGAGCUCUCCUGGACCCUGGUCCUGUUGCCAACCCCAAACUGGCUUUGCUGGCCAAGCCAUGCUGCCAGCCUGCUCCCACACCUAUAAAUAAAAUGUGUUGUUUGUGCUCUGUGUUCCUCUGCUCUGCAGUGGGCUGGCCAGGCUAUAACACAAGUGAAGCAAGCAGGUUUAUAGAGCUGUUACUUCUGUAAGGGAAGCAAUGCAGCUCUGUGCUGCUGCAGUUGGUAAUGCUUGGUGAUGUGAUAGAGGGUGGCAAAGCCCUCCUCUUGGUACGUCUAUGUCCAGAGUGCCAUGAGAUUGAAAGAUUGCCCAAAAUACAUGUUAUUAAGCCAGCCUCAUUUUUAUCAAAUUGUUUGAUGCUACUUCUGAUUACCUGUUAAUAAGAUAUGUGUCAUAUAUAUGUUGUGGAAACAUUGCUUUACAUACAUCUUUCUUCUGAAAUUAGCUAUUUUCUUCUCUGUGUUUUGGUGCUCAGCUAUCCCUAAAUCUCAUCUGAUUAGUAGGUUAAUAUUCAAAUUCUAUUAUGACUAUUCAUGUAAGCAUAGGAUUCAUUUUCCUGCAGGAGUCUGUGCAUACAGAAGUCCCACACUAACUCUUAGUGGUUGUUAACCAAAGUUAAAGACAAAUAGACCUUUAUAUACUUAAAUUCAACCAGUAUGGCUUAUCAGCAAAUUAAUGACUUACAAACCAAAAGCAAUUCUGCUACAUCUAAUAUUCUGCAACUGCAAACCAACAUAUUAUAUACAUUAAUCAAUUUGUCAUAAAUGAAUCCCUAUUUUGUAUGCAAGUAAAUAAAACAGUCAUGCCACAGUGUACUUUAUUCCUAAACCAAUAUAUAACAAAUAAAUGGAUUUUGAUGUAAGCGUAUUUUAUUUCAGAAGUGAGAAAUUAAAUCUAUAUGCUUGUUACACAAAUUUAUGUAACCUGUAUGAAUCAAUAUAUGAUAUAUAUGACCUAUUUUAAACUCUGACAUGUUUGGUACUUGAUAAUUACCUCAAUUUUAUGAAAAGUUCCUGGUUUUAAGACAGUCCUAGAAGCAAUUCAGACUUUAAUUAAAAAUUUUACCUUAGCUUUAAAAAGGUCAUUUUAGCCAAGGGGAGAUAAUGUCCUUUUAUAGUAGCACAUCUUGCUUCUGCUCCUAAUUGAUGUUAUUUGGUAGCUGUGGGAGAAUAUUGCGUGGUGCUGUUCAGGAGAG
rnacentral:lncRNA from 1 species